rnacentral:rRNA from 1 species
AUGGGGGAAGUAGCCGCGUUUGCCACCGUGGCCGGCACCAUGGUCGGUAGGAUGGGGCCUAAGCUUGCAGAUUUUUUGCUGAAAAAUCAGAAGCUGCGGGCAGAUCUUGUGCAUGACAUCGAGCACAUCAAAAGAGAGUCCAACAUAAUUUCUGCCACCAUCAAGCAAGACAGCAUCGACCGUCCCCCGUGGAGCGGCAACGAGCCUCAUAAGCAAUGGAUCACGAUGGUGCGUGACUUGGCGUGCGCCAUUGACGACUGCAUCGACAGCUUCAUACACCGCCUGCCGCUCAAGACCGGCGCGUCGUGGCCCCGUCGGAAAUACCACAGGGUGAAGACGAGGAAGGUCCGUAACAAGUUUGCCAAGGCGAUCCGUGAUCUAAGGAAGACAUCAAAUGAUAUAUUCGAGCUGAGAAGAAAAUACACAGACAAGAAGUUGUAUGGGGGCGGAGGCGGCGAAGGUGGAUCCAACACCUUGGAUCCAGAUGCACCUGGUGAGGAGACGGAGACAGACGAGGAGAUGGAGGCGGACACCGCCCUUUCAACUGGUAGCGUACAUGUGGGCUUGAAGGCUGCCGGGGAUGAGCUCAUGGAGCUGAUAAGUGAAACGGCGCAAGGCCAACAAGCUAAGGAGCUCAAGGUGAAGGUGAUCUCCAUAGUUGGAUUCGGUGGUAUAGGGAAGACUCUCCUUGCUAGGCAAGCAUACGACACGAUCAAGAACCAAUAUGAAGCAUGCGCUUGGGUUUGUGCUUCAGACAAGCGCGCAAAGGCUGUUCUCACAAAGAUACUCUGGAAACUUGAGAAGCAUCCCGCCAUUGGCAAUAGAGGUGGAACUGCAGGCAGCUCCUGCACCAUGAACAAGCUCCGUGCAACCAUAAGAAGGUGCCUUGAGACAAAGAGGUUCAUCAUUGUGAUAGAUGACAUGCGGGAAGAUUUUUGGGAAGAUAUAAAAGAUGCGUUCCCUGUGGUUCCCGGGGAUAGUAACAGAGUUAUCAUUACGACGGCCACUCAGACCAUUGCAAAUGAAUGCAGCUCUGCAAAUGGUCAUGUUUACGUAAUGAGAACUCUUGACGAGGACCAUUCUGAACAAUUGUUAAUGAAGAUAGCCUCCUCGGAUCAGUACCCACCACUAGCGAGUGAAACCGAGCUCUGUUCAGAAGCACUGAAGAAAUGUGAUGGUCUACCCCUUGCUCUUGUAACAACUGGCAAGCUGUUGCAUGGUGAUCGCACACGGGACCGAUGGGCAAUUCUAUGUAAAACCCUUGGCGUACAUCUGGAGAAUAAUAAGAAGUUAGCAAGUAUGAAGCGUGUGCUCAUCCGUAGCUACACCAGCCUUGGUAGCCAAGAUGUAAAGAAUUGCUUGCUAUAUCUGGGUAUUUUUCCCAUUGGUCGUCCAGUCAGGAGAGGAAGCCUGAUAAGGAGAUGGUCAGCUGAAGGGUUCAUCCCACCAGAGAGUGUCGCUAUAGGCAAUUUUGAUGAGCUGGUCGACCGGAGUAUCAUUCAGCCUAUUGAUGCCAGCAGCAGCAACAUCGCAAAGGUGAAGACAUGCCAAACCCACGGCAUGAUGCUCGAGUUCAUCAUGCACAAGUCCAUGUGUCAGAACUUUGUUACUGUGUUGUACGAUAACGCUACACUAUCCAGUGAUGUCCGCUGGCUUUCUCUGCAUGGUGCAAGCUCCAAAAUGGAUCGAGAGAAUUUGCAUCUUGUCCGGUCUCUGACAAUCUUCGGUAAAGCGCACAAAUCUGUCUUGGACUUCUCCAAGUAUAGACUGAUGCGAGUUUUGGAUUUGGAAGGGUGCAAUGAACACUUGGAGGACGAGCACCUAAAGGUGAUAUGCAGCAACUUGUUUCUGCUCAGGUACCUAAGCCUCAGGGGCGCAGCUAAAGUUCAGGUUCUUCCCAAAGAGAUCAGGAAGCUUCAGGUUUUGGAGACGCUCGAUUUAAGAGGAACGAAUAUAGAGAUCAUGCCCACACAAGUCAUGCAUCUGCCAUCUUUACUUCAUCUGUUUGGAAAGUUCAAGCUCCCACAAGGUGUAGGAGGUCGGAAAAUACAUAAGCUUCAUGCUUGGUUGGAAGAGAACAGUAAACUGCAAACUCUAGCAGGGUUUGUUGUUGACAACAAGAGCCAACGAUUUGCACAGCUGAUGAAUCAUAUGAAGGUGCUGACAAAAGUGAAAAUAUGGUGCGAGUCUAAUGCCACUGCCAGCAGCUCAAGUCAUGUCUCAAAGGCCAUCAAUCGGUUCAUGGGGAAAAGCACUGAUUCUUCUGAUUUCAGUCAUCUCUCAGAGGCCAUCAAGGACUUCAUCGAGAGAGGCGCAGAUCCGAACACUUCACUUUCGCUCUCAGUGAACUUCAACCACGAAUGGCCUCAAGACUUGCUGAAUUUCUCCCUGAAGAAGGACAAAACCUACUAUGUAAGAUCGCUCAAGCUGCAAGGGAACAACAUAUGCAGCCAGCUGCCUCAGUUUGUUACCAUGCUACGUGGUGUCACUAAGUUGUGCCUUCAAUUCCCUCGUCAUCAGCUGAAUGCUGACAUUCUUGUUUCCCUGGGCAGUGUGAGAGGCCUGAAGUACCUGAAGCUCAUUGCAACUCAACUGGACAUGCUCGUCAUUGGACAUGAUAUACUCCGAAACAUGCGGCACCUGUGCGUUGUGGUGGAAGUUAUGACUGGGAUGGUAAUCGAAGAGGGAGCUCUACCAUACCUCGAGUCUCUCCAGCUACUAUGUAAGGAUCUCAACUGCUUUAGUGGCACGAAGAUCCAGUCCCUACCAUGUCUCAAGGAGAAUUCUGAGAGCCAUGAUGCACCACCUACUGAUACCACGUUAUUGGUGACAACACCACCACAUGUCAUUUCUACUCAAGAGCCUGUACAAGUUGUUACUACUUCUGAGAUCGUUGAUGCUCAGGACCUGAUGGGAACUGAGUCUUCUACAGAAAGUAGUUCUGUGGCAACAAGUACUGAUAGGACCAAAAAGAUUGAUGUGGAAAGUGAGCCUGCAGAAAAUUCCGAGAGCCCAGUAGCAUCACCUAUUGAUAUGAUGUUAUCAAUCACAACGGCACCCAAUGUCAUUUCUACCGGAGAGUCUGUCCGUCUUAAUGGUGGCUGUCAACAUGGUGAUGAUUGGAAAGAUGUGGAUAACAUUGAGGACCCUAAAGAUUUGUCUACAAAAAAUGGUCGGAUCACUCAGGUGAUAGUUAAAGAGGAGAUGGUAGGAGUGGCAGAUUUAGAGGAUCUGCAGAUGGACGAUGGCACCCAGCUGGACUGUCCUUUUGAGUUUUCAGGCAUUGUGCUAUCAAUUUCUGUUGCGAUAAUGGUGGAUUCUCAGGUGCAGGGUGUACCAGACAGACUGUUACGGCUAUGGGGACUGUUCAGCUGA